AGGUCUUAACACAUUACUAACUAAUAAUAAAUUAAUUAAUCAGCCAGCAGGAAGUGAUGUAAUAUCAAGGGAGCUAUAAAGGGAUGCCCCUAUAUUGCCUCUCAUUCUGUAGUUGGUAUUCAAUGAGGUUGCACUUGUUCCUGUAAAAAGGAAUAGUUUCGUUCAGGAUUUGAAAUUUUCCUAAGUUCUCUGUUUGGUGACAUGUAUAAACAGAGGUAGACUAUAAGGUUCCACCAUUCUUGAUUGAAAAUAGGGAACGUAACAUCAUCUAAUUUCAACCAAAUUUAUAUAUAUUUUUUUGAAGUCUAUCUAGAUAUUAUAUUUAUCGAAUUGAAUAUGUGAUUGGAUGUAAUCAUUGGAUAUUCUAAACCUUUCUAAUCAAUGGUAAUCACUCCUACUAUAAGAACUGAUUCCAAACCCCUGAUGAAGUCCUAACGGACGAAACGCGUUGGGUUUUGCAACGUCUGGUUAACAAAGUCCUUAUCACAAACAUCUGGUUGGAGAUACAUCCAUUUCGAGUUCUGACUGUGAUCACCUGGCUGUAAAAUCCUCACAUCCAACUGUAAUUUAUGUAUAAGAUUGUAAUAUUGUUUUAUAUGAAUUUUUAGAAGGUUGUGUCAAUAACGAACGUUUAGGAUAAAUAUCGUUUGUUUCUGUACAAUAAAAACUUUUAAUUAUUGUCAUACAAAAGGCA